rnacentral:rRNA from 1 species
AUUGAGCGCUGGCGGCAGGCUUAACACAUGCAAGUCGAGCGAGCGGCGGACGGGUGAGUAAUGUCUGGGAAACUGCCUGAUGGAGGGGGAUAACUACUGGAAACGGUAGCUAAUACCGCAUACCAUCAGAUGUGCCCAGAUGGGAUUAGCUAGUAGGUGGGGUAAUGGCUCACCUAGGCGACGAUCCCUAGCGGGUCUGAGAGGAUGACCAGCCACACUGGAACUGAGACACGGUCCAAACUCCUAGGGGGGGCAGCAGUGGGGAAUAUUGCACAAUGGGGGAAAGCCUGAAGCAGCCAUGCCGCGUGUGUAAAGAAGGCCUUCGGGUUGUAAAGCACUUGCAGCGAGGAGGCGUUACUCGCAGAAGAAGCACCGGCUAACUCCGUGCCAGCAGCCGCGGUAAAC